rnacentral:rRNA from 1 species
GAUGAACGCUGGCGGCGUGCUUAACACAUGCAAGUCGAACGAAGCACUUUAUUUUAUUUCCUUCGGGACUGAUUAUUUUGUGACUGAGUGGCGGACGGGUGAGUAACGCGUGGGUAACCUGCCUUGUACAGGGGGAUAACAGUUGGAAACGGCUGCUAAUACCGCAUAAGCGCCCAGCAUCGCAUGAUGCAGUGUGAAAAACUCCGGUGGUAUAAGAUGGACCCGCGUUGGAUUAGCUAGUUGGUGAGGUAACGGCCCACCAAGGCGACGAUACAUAGCCGAGCUGAGAGAGUGACCGGACACAUUGAGACUGGGACACGGCCCAAAAUCCUACGAGAGGCAGGAGUGGGGGAUAUUGCACAAUGGGCGAGAGCAUGAUGCAGCGAGGCCGCGUGAGCGAAGAAGUAUUUCGGUAUGAAAAGCUCUAUCAGCAGGGAAGCUAAUGACGGUACCUGACUAAGAAGCACCGGCUAAAUACGUG